rnacentral:rRNA from 1 species
CCUACGGGUGGCAGCAGUGAGGAAUAUUGGUCAAUGGCCGGAAGGCUGAACCAGCCAAGCCGCGUGAAGGACGAAGGUGCCAAGCAUUGUAAACUUCUUUUGUCAAGGGACAAAAUCAGGCUCGAGAGCCUGACCGAGGGUACUUGAAGAAAAAGCAUCGGCUAACUCGGUGCCAGCAGCCGCGGUAAUACGGAGGAUGCGAGCGUUAACCGGAUUUAUGGGGUUUAAAGGGUGCGUAGGGGGACUGUUAAGUCAGCGGUAAAAGCCCGGGGCUAAACCCCGGCGAGCCGUUGAAACUGGCUGUCUUGAGAGGACGAGAGGUAUGCGGAAUGCGCAGUGUAGCGGUGAAAUGCUUAGAUAUUGCGCAGAACUCCGAUUGCGAAGGCAGCAUACCGGCGGCGAUCUGACGCUGAGGCACGAAAGCGUGGGUAUCGAACAGGAUUAGAUACCCUAGUAGUC